UACGUAGGGGGCAAGCGUUGUCCGGAAUUAUUGGGCGUAAAGAGCGUGUAGGCGGUCCGGUAAGUCAGCUGUGAAAGUCAAGGGCUCAACCCUUGAAUGCCGGUUGAUACUGUCGGGCUAGAGUCCGGAAGAGGCGAGUGGAAUUCCCGGUGUAGCGGUGAAAUGCGCAGAUAUCGGGAGGAACACCAAUGGCGAAGGCAGCUCGCUGGGACGGUAUUGACACUGAGGCGCGAAAGCGUGGGGAGCGAACAGG
rnacentral:rRNA from 1 species